CCGCAGGCUGGCUCCCACUCAGCGGCUGCCAAGGUGCAGGUGCAGAGGUUGGGCACCUUCGGGGUCGCAGCUCACAGGCCCCGUGUGCUCUCUGCUUGGCUGCAAGCCGAAUUUUUCCGAGGUGGCGAACGUUUGCCGUUGUGUUCCCACUGGCCUGCUCGCUUCUGUGGUCUACGGCUGUAUAUGAAGAAUCCCACAAGUGUGGUAUAGAGGCUCUGAAGGCCCUGGGGAUGAUGGAGUCAACAGAAGAAAUCCAGAUCUCUGAGUGACUCAAAUGAAUGUGACACAUACAGGAAAUAAACCUUGUGAUAUUUUAAAGUUUGAGCUGGCAAGAUGAACCAGUAAGACAACCCAAGACUGACUCUCAGAGCCCACUGUAGAAGAGAACAAACUCCACAAUGUUGACCUCUCACCUCCACAUGUGUACUGUGGGAUACACAGCCCCUACCCCCAGAUAAGAAAUAAAAACAAAUUAAUAA